rnacentral:rRNA from 1 species
UACGUAGGGGGCAAGCGUUGUCCGGAUUUAUUGGGCGUAAAGAGCGUGUAGGCGGCUAUACAGGUCCGCUGUGAAAACUCGAGGCUCAACCUCGAGACGUCGGUGGAAACCGUAUGGCUAGAGUCCGGAAGAGGAGAGUGGAAUUCCUAGUGUAGCGGUGAAAUGCGCAGAUAUUAGGAAGAACACCGGUGGCGAAGGCGGCUCUCUGGAACGGUACUGACGCUGAGACGCGAAAGCGUGGGGAGCGAACAGG